AAUAUUGGACAAUGGAGGCAACUCUGAUCCAGCCAUGCCGCGUGAAGGAAUAAGGCCCUAUGGGUUGUAAACUUCUUUUAGACGGGACAAAACCCCUUUACGUGUAAAGGGUUGAUGGUACUGUCAGAAUAAGCAUCGGCUACCUUCGUGCCAGCAGCCGCGGUAAUACGAAGGAUGCAAGCGUCAUCCGGAAUUAUUGGGUUUAAAGGGUGCGUAGGCGGACUAAUAAGUCAGUGGUGAAAGCCUGCAGCUUAACUGCAGAAUUGCCAUUGAUACUGUUAGUCUUGAGUACAGUUGAGGUAGGCGGAAUGUGUCAUGUAGCGGUGAAAUGCUUAGAUAUGACACAGAACACCGAUUGCGAAGGCAGCUUGCUAGGCUGUAACUGACGCUGAGGCACGAAAGCGUGGGGAGCAAACA
rnacentral:rRNA from 1 species